rnacentral:rRNA from 1 species
GAUGAACGCUGGCGGCGUGCCUAAUACAUGCAAGUCGAGCGAACGGACGAGAAGCUUGCUUCUCUGCUGUUAGCGGCGGACGGGUGAGUAACACGUGGAUAACCUACCUAUAAGACUGGGAUCACUUCGGGAAACCGGAGCUAAUACCGGAUAAUAUUUUGAACCGCAUGGUUCAAAAGUGAAAGACGGUUUUGCUGUCACUUAUAGAUGGAUCCGCGCUGCAUUAGCUAGUUGGUAAGGUAACGGCUUACCAAGGCAACGAUGCAUAGCCAACCUGAGAGGGUGAUCGGCCACACUGGAACUGAGACACGGUCCAGACUCCUACGGGAGGCAGCAGUAGGGAAUCUUCCGCAAUGGGCGAAAGCCUGACGGAGCAACGCCGCGUGAGUGAUGAAGGUCUUCGGAUCGUAAAACUCUGUUAUUAGGGAAGAACAUAUGUGUAAGUAACUGUGCACAUCUUGACGGUACCUAAUCAGAAAGCCACGGCUAACUACGUG